CCUACGGGCGGCAGCAGUGAGGAAUAUUGGUCAAUGGCCGGACGGCUGAACCAGCCAUGCCGCGUGAAGGUCAGUGCCCUUUGGGCGUUAAACUUCUUUUGUGCGGGAGCAAUAAUGGUCACGUGUGGCCAGACGUGAGUACCGUACGAAUAAGCAUCGGCUAACUCCGGGCCAGCAGCCGCGGUAAUACGGAGGAUGCGAGCGUUAUCCGGAUUUUUUGGGUUUAAAGGGUGCGUAGGCGGUGUUUUAAGUUAGUGGUUAAACGGCGGGGCUACACCUUGAUUUGCCAUUGAUACUGUAAGACUCGAGUGCAGACGAGGUAGGCGGAAUAAGUAAAGUAGCGGUGAAAUGCUUAGAUAUAACUUAGAACUCCGAUAGCGAAGGCAGCUUACCAGACUGCGACUGACGCUGAAGCACGAGAGCGUGGGUAGCGAACAGGAUUAGAUACCCCAGUAGUC
rnacentral:rRNA from 1 species